rnacentral:rRNA from 1 species
AUUGAACGCUGGCGGCAGGCCUAACACAUGCAAGUCGAACGAGUGGCGGACGGGUGAGUAAUGUCUGGGAAACUGCCUGAUGGAGGGGGAUAACUACUGGAAACGGUAGCUAAUACCGCAUACCAUCAGAUGUGCCCAGAUGGGAUUAGCUUGUUGGUGGGGUAACGGCUCACCAAGGCGACGAUCCCUAGCUGGUCUGAGAGGAUGACCGGCCAAACGGGAACUGAGAAACGGCCCAAACUCCUACGGGGGGAAGCAUUGGGGAAUAUUGCACAAGGGGGGCAAGCCUAAUGCAGCCAUGCGGGGUGUAUGAAGAAGGCCUUGGGGUUGUAAAGUACUUUCAGCGGGGAGGCGUUACCCAAAGAAAAAGCACAGGCUAACUCCGGGCCAGCAGCCGCGGUAAUAC